rnacentral:rRNA from 1 species
AUCGAACGCUGGCGGCAGGCCUAACACAUGCAAGUCGAACGAGUGGCGGACGGGCGAGUAAUGUCUGGGAAACUGCCUGAUGGAGGGGGAUAACUACUGGAACCGGUAGCUAAUACCGCAUACCAUCAGAUCUGCCCAGAUGGGAUUAGCUGGUUGGUGGGGUAACGGCUCACCAAGGCGACGAUCCCUAGCUGGCCUGAGAGGAUGACCAGCCACACUGGAACUGAGACACGGUCCAGACUCCUACGGGAGGCAGCAGUAGGGAAUAUUGCACAAUGGGCGCAAGCCUGAUGCAGCCAUGCCGCGUGUAUGAAGAAGGCUUUCGGGUUGUAAAGUACUGUCAUCGGGGAGGCGUUACCCGCAGAAAAAGCACCGGCUAACUCCGUGCCAGCCGCCGCGGUAAUUC